rnacentral:rRNA from 1 species
ACUCCUACGGGAGGCAGCGGUGGGGAAUAUUGGACAAUGGGCGAAAGCCUGAUCCAGCCAUGCCGCGUGUGUGAAGAAGGUCUUCGGAUUGUAAAGCACUUUAAGUUGGGAGGAAGGGCAUUAACCUAAUACGUUAGUGUUUUGACGUUACCGACAGAAUAAGCACCGGCUAACUCUGUGCCAGCAGCCGCGGUAAUAC